rnacentral:lncRNA from 1 species
UUCAAUACGCAGCACGGCAGCAACGCAGCUCUCACUCUCUCUCUCUCUCUCUCUCUCAGCUUAGAAAUACCACGACUCCAUCUUCACUGAUAGCCGUUGCUUUGCUUUGCUGAGCAGGUAACCUCUCCCUCUCUCUCAUUUGUAUAUAUUUUUGGUUCUUAGAUAUAAUCUUGAUGUUUUUAUCUCAGAUUCCCUGUUCCAUUAUUCUGUUCAGGGUCGCUGUUUCCACUUCGAGAUCUCUAUCUUGUUCGCUUCAGUUUGAGAAUUGAGAGGUAAUAAUUUCUUGAGUCACCUUUAUGAGUCUUUUUUUUUCCAGAUCUCUAUCCUGUUCCAUUAUUCUUUUUUUUUCUCUUUCGUUGAGGUUCUUUUGACAAAUUCUUUUAGGACUUGUUUGAUUAUUCGGAUUGGUCAAGUAGUCCCCGGACUAGGACUACUUGGCGGACUAACAAAAUCAUGAAACACAGGACUCGUUGUUCCAUGUAUGGAGAACUAUUUGGUCUUUUUGGACUAGUAGUUCGGAGCCAUUUAAAAAAAAUAAACGCAGGAUUGGACUGGAUUUGUAGUCCAGUCCUGCCUAGUCUGGCCUGCCUAGUCUGGCCUAAUCGGGUAAUCAAACAUGCCAGUUUUAGUCUAACCCAAAAACACAUUCUGUUUUUUUUAGAUAUGUAUAUUCGAAUUUUUUCCUCGCAGUGGUGUUUGGUUGUGCCUUGUGAGAGAACCAAUAUUAAAGGUUGCUACCCUGUUUUAUUCAUGUUUUUAGAUAUUUUUGUUUUAUUCAAUCCAAGUUAAUUAAAUGGAAAAAAUGAAGCUCACCAAAAAUUUUACUCAUCCUAUGAGACAGGACAUCGAUGGCUGGCUCACACAGGUCUCCCAAUGAACCAAAUGCUCUGAGGUUUUGUGGAUUCUGUUGUUUUGAAAAGUUUGUGUUUUGGUGGGUUUGGAUGAAGGCUGUGUUCGUUAAUGGAGACAGUAGUUUGAUUUGUUCUUGAUUGAUAUUCUUGUUAAUUUGUGCGCUUUAGGGGGAUUUGUGGUGUUUGAUGUGCUCAAGAGAGUCUUCUUCUGUGUGUUGAUCUUCCCAUUAUAGUACUCUUGUGUUAUUUGGCAUGUAUGUCUAUGAUUAUUUCACUUCUUUCCCUUUUCCUGUAUGUUUAUGUUUAUUCGUUCAUUGUAUGUAUCUGUUUAUGAAGCUGGUUUUCAUUAGAUUCUGCCCCUGAUUUUUGGGUAUGAAAUUUAGAGUUUUUGAAGUGGGAUUUGGUGCAAGCUUUCAAGUGGGUUCAUUUGGCACAGGUGGGUAGUAGUUUGAUCUAAUUCUGUUGAACAUUCAGAAUCUGAAUAGGCACAAGAAUUGCGGAAAGAAGGAUCCUGUCUACACGAAAAUAAGAAUUGUUCCCCCAUCAUGAAAAAGGGGAAUUCCUUCCAAUAUCUUAUCAAUUAGAAAAUUAAACUUCUGAAUUUUUUCACUUUGUGAAGCUUGUUGUUUCUUAUUAAUAUUGCAAGUCGGGGAGCAGAAAACUUGAGUUCAGGAUUAAAAUUUGUGCAUAUUUUUUUGUAUUUAUUAUCUAUUAUAAAUAAUUUAUGACG